AUAUUACUCCCUCCGUUCCGAAUUACUUGUCGCAGGUAUGGAUGUAUCUAGAUGUAUUUUAGUUCUAGAUACAUCCAUUUCUGCGAGGAGUAAUUUGGAACGGAGGGAGUAUUUG
rfam:Triticum aestivum genome assembly, contig: Triticum_aestivum_CS42_TGACv1_scaffold_000204_1AL